UACGUAGGGUGCGAGCGUUGUCCGGGAUUACUGGGCGUAAAGAGCUCGUAGGUGGUUUGUCGCGUUGUUCGUGAAAACUCACAGCUCAACUGUGGGCGUGCGGGCGAUACGGGCAGACUGGAGUACUGCAGGGGAGACUGGAAUUCCUGGUGUAGCGGUGGAAUGCGCAGAUAUCAGGAGGAACACCGGUGGCGAAGGCGGGUCUCUGGGCAGUAACUGACGCUGAGGAGCGAAAGCGUGGGGAGCGAACAGG
rnacentral:rRNA from 1 species